AAAGGGGCGGAUGUGAUCUCCAUGGCGUCUAUGUGUUGAAUAUCAAAUGUCAUUACUCAGAGUAUGACAUAUGCCUCGAACCAGCCAAGUCUUUGAUAGAGUUCAAAGACUGGGAUAAUGUGCUCAUCUGCAUUGAAGAAGGUGUCAAAGCAUUCCUUACUAAAGAAAACCUGGUGACAGAGUUUUCCAUGAAUGGCAGCGAUGGUCCAUCAAGUAGUCCAGUGAGGAAUGCAAAGACUCCUGUGGCAACACAAAAUCUCAGUGUUGAGGAAACACGUGAAGAGUGUGAUGCAUUGUCUGAGAAGAAGGAUAAUGCAAGUACUGCGGACGUCUCUGGUGGAGUUCAAAUGUUGGAGAAGGUGUCAACAAACACUGAAACCUUCUCCAGUGAAGAAGCAGAAGCAGAAAAGGUGCUUCAGGCUGAAUUGUCUAUGCGGCCCACGUUUGCAGAUGCUACAGAAAUGAAUAACAAUCGCAAAGAAGAUGAAAGUGCAGUUUGUCCAAAUAUAAGCCAUAAUGAUUUGCCAGUUAACAAUGUGACGGGAAGCAAAAACCAAAAGAUUUCGAUUAUAGAUGGAAAAGAGGCAGAAGAUAGUUUGAAAAAAUUCUGCUUCCCAAAGAAAAUUUCUCCAAAAAAGAGGAAGUUGGCGUUAAAUGACACUGAAGAAGAUAAACAUGGUUUUUAUGGUACCGACUCAAAGACUUCCAGAGCUGCGUCAUGUCGUAAAUUAGCCCUGUCUUUUGAAACGGGAUCGCUUGACAAGUUCAAAAGGUUGUUUGGGAAGGGCGCUGAGAAAAAACAACCAAGUACGGAAAAAACAAACCUUUUAAAUCCAGCGUCUUCUCGAAAAUCCAAUGACUGCUUUGUAGGAACUACUUGGUGUUUAGAAGAUUUAGACAAGCCCUUAUUGAGGAACAUAUCAGGUGCUCAUUCUCUAUAUAGUGCUGAAUGUCCUGCUCAAUCUUCAUCAUGGAAUAAGGCAGACAAACUGUCAUUGGCUGCCAAAUGUUCCUAUUUAAAACAAGACAAAAGACCAUUCAGCAAGGUCAGCAGAAAUACAGACUUUCUUACAAUGGAAAAUUCAGCUUUCCCAGUUGUGGAAGACUCACACUGUCAAGAAGGGUCCUGUGAAUUAGAAAAAAGCCUCUUAGAAGAUGUUUUAUUUGGAUCCACUGGAACUGUUGAUUCAGUUGUCCAUGAAACUCCAAUCUUCGCUCUUAAUGAGCAGGACACAACUUCCUCCGUUUUAGAAGACUCACACCUCUGCAACAAGAAUGUGACUUCCCUUGUAGGAAGUGUGAAGUGUGUUGAUGAAGCCAGCGUAACCUCUCAGCAUGAUCCUCAGUGCAGCAACACAGGAAAUGAAGGUCAGGCUACAAAUGAAUGUGUUGAAACAAUCCCAAUGUCCAGCAGCUGGCUGGCUCAUUAUGACAGUUGGUUAGGAAAGCUGGUUUACAUCAACCAAGUUACAG
ensembl:lncRNA